GCUUUCAGUAGCGAUGAUGGUGAGACAAGUGAAUCAGAAAAGUUAUUUAUGGCUGUCUGGUGCUUGCCGCGAAUGCCAUCCAAGGUAUGUUGAUGACCACAUGUUAAACUGCUAGUAGCAGUUCUCAGAAGUGUAUCAAAGAUCCAGUUGCUCUUGUGUUAUCAAACCAAAUGAGCUUCCAUCAAUACUCAAUUGAACAUAAAACUACAACCCUUCACUAAAGUUAUGUCCGGGGCUUUUCGGAGAAGUGAUUAUGAACUGAUCAGACUUCUUCCAUAACUUUGACUGAGUUAGAACCCCAGGUUGCAGAUGUCUGGACUACUUGAGUUACAGUGGAGAAUAUAUGGAUAGACUAUAGAUAUAGUGUAUAGGCAAAGAGUUGUCAUAUGGUUACA
rnacentral:misc_RNA from 1 species